GACUGGACCACCACGACAGCAGCGAAGGACUGAACUAGCAUUGAGCUCGGGGGCGUGCGAUCUUGUCCCCCUCCCCCCCCACACACACACCAUUCCUCUUCCUCCUCCCGAACAACGCGACUGAAUGUGUGAGCGUCUGCAUGUAGGCUGCACCUGUUGAGUGCUGUCUUGUGUAGCAGACUUGUGUGCUGCUCGUCACUGUUGCUGUCGUUGACGUCCAUCACCGCCGCAUACCCACAUGCGCGCACAUACCGCGCAUCCAUCGCAUAUCUUCCUACUUCCUCUGCUGCGUUGACACCCUUUAUUUUUCUCUAUCUUCGAUGCCACCCAAAUCCGCGCGAAGAGGGUCAGCGACACACGCGCUGGUGCCACCGGCGUUGGCGACGGAAGUCGCACCAUCCCCACCGCCGGCAGAGCCGCAGUCGCACAGAGGCCGCACGCGGCAGGAAUCGGCGCUGCUGUUCUGGUUAGAAGCCGCGUGCGCUGCACCGGUGUCACGCAGCUCAACGAAUGCCGACCGCGCCUCCGCAUCCUCCAGCUCCACGACCGCCGCUGCGGCAACCCCCGUAGCGGAAACCAAGAGAGAACCUUCGGUGGACCUUGCCUCACGGCCACCUCCGGAGGAGCAGCUGAAGCAGCAGCCGUGGCACGGAGGUGCAUCAACACAGCAGGAAACAGCCACUCCGGAAGUGUCAGCCGCCGCCGGCGCUUCCGCGGCAGAAGCCCCCUCAACUUUUCUUGUGCAGACCGUGGCGACGAAACCACCACCACCGCCGCCAGGCGAGAUGCGACUUGGUGGUGAUACGAGUGGAUCCAGAAAGACAGCGGAUGCGCCUCCUACACCUGGCACCGAGCAUCCAGCACCGCUUCCUCACCUUUCCUGGGGCACGGGUCCGCGUCGUCUCGUGGUUGCCGACGCAGUGCCCCUCUUCGACUCCCUUCUCGCUGGCCGUCUCGGCCCGGUCGCGGUGGAUGUGCAGCUGCAGGGGCACACGCGCCUUUCGCAGCAGCCACAGCAGUUCGAGGCAGCGCUGCAGGCGUACGAGCGGCAAAGCACGGGUGCGCUGCGGGAAGCUCUGAGUAGCGUGCAGCCAUUCUUUCUCCUCUGCAACGCCGGCGGCGGGGCAGACAUGCGCGUGAAUCACUCGGAGGCGUCGGGAGGUGGCAUGGAUGACGACGGCCACCCGCAACCAGCACAUGGUGCCGCGGUGCUGUCGAACUCCUCAGUGCUCUAUACGAUGGACCCCGCUAGCAACUACCCCGUUUUGCCCCUCCUCGCCCAGCUGCUGCGAGCGCCGCAGGUGACGAAGCUCCUCCUUCACAGCCGCCUGCUCUACCGCCUUCUCUUUCUGUUUCUGGGGACGGACCGAGUGGAGCUGAGCAGCGUCGUCGACCUGCCGACGUGGGCGGCGCUGGGGCAGCAGUUGCGGCCCUCCCUCGCUCUGCUCUUUCAUCUGCCGAUAGAAGGUGUCGCAUCGUUGUCCGAUAUCACGGCGGUGCUUCCCUCCGAAGCGCGGCAGCUGCUCCACGAGGAGACGCAGUCGAUGGCACAGAAGCAGCCACUUCAUGCAACCCGGCCUGUGGGGAGCGAAAGUGACUCCGAGCUCGACAGUGUGCAGGAGGCGAGCACGGACGGCAGCGACGGCGCCGGCGACAAGGAGGAUGGCGGAGAUGACGCGCGUCGCGAAGGCGGCGACGCGCGAGCGGUGGCAGCAGACGGGACGGCGGAGGACGAACCGGCAGAUGCGGUGCAGCUUCUUCAGCGCAUUCGACCUUUGGCCGAGCAGCCCCUCGGCGGCAACAGCCGCAAUGCGAGCGGCGCCGACUUUGAUUCAGCUGCCCGAGCAGUCGGUGUGAAGCGCCGUCUCUUGCGUUCUCGUCAGCGGCAUCGUCGCCGCCGGUACGACAGCGGCCCCUCUCUCUCCUCAUCUUCUUGCGCGAACGCGCCGGCCCUCGCCGACGUCUAUCACGGGCUGAGGACGAUAACACUGUUCUACGUUCAUGUGUUGUCGAGGCUGCUUGACGUAGUCGACCCGGGCGCGACCGGCGUGGCUGCACCGAGUGCUGGAAUAGCCGCUCUGUCACUGGCAACCUCGCGCUGCGGUGGCGACGCCAUAGCGUCGCCCGUCUCGGCAGUACGGUACCGCUUCUCCCCGUCCGAGUUGUGCGCGCUGCGCACCUACGCGGAUUUCCUCUGCGAGCUCAUGGCGUACCACGGCGUCUUUGUGAACGACACAGUGGCGCAUGGAAUGCUGACCGCCUUGGACGUGCAAAUGGCCGCCAUCGAAGACGUGGGGCUGCGCGUCGCGGUAGCCGUUCUGGCAGCCACGGAGCCUGCUGUGCCGUCGGCCAUCGCAGAGAAGGCUGAAGGUCGUCAGUGGAGUAUUGAGAUGGUCUAUAAGUGCUUGGCUCGGCUUACAGCCGCUGCAACGACGCCCGAGAUGCCGCGAGCAGUGAACGCCCACUACCUACGUCUCCUGGCUGCGCAGGCGAAGCAGAGCAGCUGCGCGCGGGCUGAACAACUUCGACUGGGAUGCCAGCUUGUGUGCGUGUGGAUGGCGUACCUAGAUCGGGCUACGACUAGAAACCGGCUGCAUGACAUGUUCCGAAAGGUCGCAGAUAAACUGCACGUGUGCGUGCUGGAGAAGCCGCGCGACUCAGCAGCGGAGGACGGCCCUGCAGUGUCGGAUGCGUCGACGGCGCAGGUGUCUCGGGUGUGCUACUCGAUGCAUCCAAACUGGGUGCUGCACAACAAGUCGACUGGCCGCAUCUUUUCAGCGCUGCCAAAUGUGCAGAACUUGCCGAAGCAGCCGCCUCGCACGACGUUCCCGAUUCACGCGCUUUCCGCCACGCCGAGCCGCAACAGCGGCGGCGAUGAGUCCCUGCAACCCUACGGCUAUGUCGACCCGCCGACGGAGGAAGAUGUUGAUCGGUGGUUGUCGCUCGCGGAGGCCGCUGCGGUCGAUCAAGCCUCGUCGGUACAGUUUCCUCUCUUUCCCGAGAACCCGCAAUGGACGCUGCGGCACCUCUACUGCGCCCCUCCUGGUUGUUUACUCGCCUCGUUCGACUUCAACCAGCUGGAGCUGCGCCUGCUCGCCCACCUCAGCGGCGACGCUGCUCUGCAGGAGCACCUGUCUGCCAACGUAGAUGUUUUGGCGCUCGUGACAGCCAGUGUUCUGCGCCUGCCAUCCAUCGACCACGUGCGCCCACAGCAGCGGCAAGCCGUGAAGGUGAUUGUGUAUGGCCUCCUGUACGGCAUGGGGCCGGAGUCGAUGGAUGUGCGCAUCAAGAAGAUCAACGAGGAGUUUGCAACAUCAGAACAGCAGCAGCACCGAGGAGAAGCCGCCUCGUCCGCGCCGGCGCCGAUGGCUGCACGUGAUCUUCUCAGGCGUUUCCACCGCGUCUACCCGCGCAUCGAGAAUUAUCUUCGCGAGACUCGACAAGAAGCGCUGCGCUCCUUCGCGGUGGAGACGCUGUCCGGCCGCAAGUCCCUCAUCGCCGAGAAGGACGCGAACCGGCGGAGGCAGCGAGCCAUUGCGCAGGCCGUGCAAGGCGGCGCGGCCGACGUGCUGCACAGUGCCAUGCGGGCCGUUCACCAGCAGCGUCACAGCUUUCUGCCCUACCUCCCUGCUGCACCGCUCGCACUGGUAAUGAGCAUUCACGACGAGCUCGUCUAUGCCGUUCCGCGGGUUGCGAUCGAGGAGGUGGUGCGAGGAGUGCAGCGCAUCCUCGAGGACCAGGCGCGAGUGCUGCGGCUGGCCGUACCCCUGCCGGUGUCCGCGCGGGUCGGGCACUGUUUGGGCGAACUGGCUGAGUUCCGCCCCACAGGGGGCUGACGCUUUUGGAGUCUGUGAAGGGGGUAGAGGGAGGGAGGGGUGGGGCGCGCCGCAACAGCUGUGCACGUACACUGGCGCAGAUCCGCAUCAACGAAUCUUGCGUACAUGCACACCCAUCUCCACGCGGCUACCACCCUCUUCUCCUGUGCGCGUCGGUCGUUCAUAACGGCACACUCCUCACUUGGGUGUCUCUCUCUCGGUAUGCAUCCUGCAUCUGUAUCUGUAUGCGUAAGUGUGUGUGUGUGUGUGUGUGUGCUCAUGGCACUGUGUGCCUACCCCACGGCACGUGCUCGUGGUCGUCUCUCCUAUGCUCCCUCUCCCUCGUAGAUCGUAUCUGUCUUUCUCUCUGUGUGUUUGUGUGGGUAUCCGCCUUGUAUCUUUAUAUGUCCUUCUCCCUCCUCUGACUUCCACC
rnacentral:misc_RNA from 1 species